UGUUAACCCUAUCAGGAGGAUGAGUCGUCCUCAUUUUUGUUCUAGAAACCUCUAAAUUUUGCAGUGCGCAUGCUAAUUUUGAAAUUGUUAAUCUAAUCAUAAUGUGGGCUUAUGAAACCUAAUUAGUGAGUGCUGUAUCUACUUUACUUAGUCCUGUUUAAAUGACUUAAAGUAAUCAAUGCAUAUAUUGGUGCAUACAAGCCUCUGGGGAAAUGAAGAACUAGGUGACUCGAGACGCUACAGAGGAAAAGUGUACCGUAAUUUAUUUUUUUAUCAAUUUCUCAUAACUUAUUAAUACCUAGUAUAAUUUAUUUUUUCUUCUAUUUUUGUUCAAGCAUAAUCCCAAAGGUCACUCUAAAAGUGAAGUUCCUUAUUUUAUAUCUUUGGAAAUGAACUAGAUAAAUCAAAUCGAUGAAAGGUGAUCUCUUAACUGCCAACUUGAUUGACAAUGGGACCACCUCCCAUAACAGUGGGACUACCUUUCGGUGUAUUAGUGGAUUUUAAUGAAAUUUCCUAACCUUUCCCUUCCUUAAUAUUUCCCUAAACUUUCUUAAAAUAAGAGGGCGUUUAAAGCAAAAAAGUUGCAUUUCUCUUAGCAUUCUUACAUUUUCAGCAUCAAGUUAAUUCAUUGGUUCCUCAUUUUUGAAUACUCGGCUUGUCAAAACAUACAGGUUCCCUUGUUUUUACACUGAAUUUUUAAAAAAACAUUCACAAUUAAUCCAUUGAUAUUUUUCCUGUCGAUUUCGGAAGGUAUAACAAUUUCGUCAAUAAAAAAGGAAACCAGUACACCAAGAGAUGAAUACGGGCUGCAGAGAGAGAUCGGGUGAACCCGAAUUGGUUCCCGUGGCCGUCACCCUUAGUCCGAACUGGUUCCCGGAUGAAACAAAACCCCGGUCCGCACUGGUUCCCGAUUCAAAAUUUUCCAUGUCCGCAUUGGUUCUUGCAAAUGGGAACUAAUUCGGACACGGGAACCAAUACGGAAAUGACCGUCAUCGGAAAUGGGAACCAAUUCGACCACUUGAGAACCGAUUCGGCAACUCCCGAGAGAUCAUAGCAGGAAAUCUGAAUUUUUCUGAAACUGGUGCAAGUGCACACAAAAAACUAUUGACUAUUUAUUAUGUUUUCUUAGUACAGUUAACUUACUGCAGUUAUUUAAUUUUAUCACUAAGCAGGAUUCAUUUAAGAUCUUUUCCUUAAACUAUGUUUUUGGUAAACAGUUGGAAAAUAUAUACAGUUACAAAUAACAGUCAGUAGACAGUUAUAUUAUAUAACAGUUGUUAAUAUAUACAUGUAUUAUAAAUUUAGUAUCCAGUAAGAUAUUAUUCAGCUCUUUUCACCUAAAUUAGUUCGUACAAUUAGCUCAAUAGAGGACCGCAUUAAUUUAAGGCAGUGAAUGAAAAGUUUUUACUACUUGAGUUUUAAAUGAAAAUAGGACAGACAUAUAGGUAAACAGCUCCUUUUAGAACGAAUCUUGCUGACAAUAUCAAAUUGUGUUUGUUCAUUUAAUCAUAUUGUCAAAUAAGGGGGAAUGGGGUAAGCAUUUGAGCAAUAUUACUACGGGUGCCCACUUCUCAGGGGUGGAAAUAUAAUCAGAGAAGAGACCCAAAAAAGUCCUCAUAGAUUCCCAUUCGAUCAGUUGGAAAUUCUCCUGACUAGCUAUGACCUUUAGGGAAAAAAAUGCAACAACAGUCUAUUUUUCGUGUUCGACCAAUCAAAUAGUCUAUAUUUUGAAAGGUAAUUCGGUCGGUGAGACAUUUUUUAAAAUUUUUUUAAGACUUUUUAAACCCCUUUUACAAUUAGGUAUGUCUUUUUGAGGCUUUUUGAAAAUUUAACGACAACAAAGGGACCUGUUCAAUAAAGUAUUCUGCACGGACACUGUACUGAGCUGUGCCCAUUUUCUCGAAAUUUCGAUUUUUGGUAAUGUGGCAACACUACUUUUCCGAAAUCCAGGCACAAAAUUCAGGUCAGCUCACUGCUCAGUAAAGGGACACGGCGGGUCGGGCUUCAACAACGACUGGCGCGGCGCGGCGCGGCGGCGCAGUAAAGAAAGAAAAGGCCUCUUGCAUUCAUUUCCACCCUUGUUUUCAUGAAAUAAUAAAAAUAAAGACACAAGAGUCAAGACCUUUGUGAUAAGUGCUUCCAUCCCAAUGUUGCCAACUUGGAGCAACUGUAAUUAAAUAUGUCAUGCCUUACAGAGCCUCUAGCUGACGCAUAAAAAAUGGCAGGGAGGCAACGCAGAGGAGCCCAGCCUAGCCCCUGGUUCUACGGCAAAACCAGCCGUUCUUUGGGGGUUUUAUUCAUUGGCAGCGUUGUGUCGCUAGACUCUCUCUCUUACCUAUCUAGUCGAGUCAAAUAAGGCCUUGAUCUUCUGAAUAAAAUGAGCCCAAAAAACUCAAACAUACAAUUAGUUCCGGGUUCAACCCUUAUUUGACUCCACUGAUCCGAAUUUGAAGACAAAUCUAAUCAAUUAGUUGAUUCAUAGAACCGCGCAAAAUUAUAUUAUCUCUGCUACAAAAGAAGCGAAAUUUCUUGUAAGGUUAACCUUAAGUAUCAUUGAAAAACAAGCAAAAAUAGCCCCUCCGUCCUGCGGUCCAAGAAAUUCAAAGAGUUUAAUGCAAAGCCAGAUUUACAAUAUACGCACGUAGGCACGUAAGGUACCCGGGGGGCCCCACGUAAGGGACUGAUGACUAUUUUUGACCCUUCAAAUUAUUGGCAGUUUGACACUUUUUU
rnacentral:lncRNA from 1 species